AUCACAUCAUUUUGAAACAUCGGUUCCCAUACAACCACUGAAGUUAAGCAAUAUUGAGCCUGGUCAGUACCUUGAUGGGUGACCCCUUGGCUAUGCCAUGCGGUGU